rnacentral:rRNA from 1 species
AGAUAAUAGAUACCCAGGUAGUCCACGCCCUAAACUAUGUUCGCUGGCUUUCCGGAGUAUCGACCCUCUAGGAGGCGAAAGCUAAACGCGUUAAGCGAACCGCCUGGGUAGUACGGCCGCAAGGCUAAAACUCAAAGGAAUAGACGGGGGCUUGCACAAGCGGUGGAGCGUGUGGCUUAAAUUCGUCGCUAAGCGAAGAACCUUACCAGGGCUAGAAAUCCUACUGCACGUCCAGCGAAAGCUAGAAAGCCUUCGAGGGUGUAGGACAGGUGAUGCAUGGCUGUCGUCAGUUCGUGGUUUGAAUCGUUCCCUUCAUGGGGUAACGAACGCAACCCUCGUUGCCUGUUACAAGUGUCAGGCGAGACUGCCCCCGUCACGGGGGGAGGAAGGUUGAGGAUGACGCCAAGUCAGCAUGUCCCUCUGAUGUCCUGGGCUGCACACGCGCUACAAUCGCAUUUACAGAGGGGCGCAAUAUCGCAAGAUGAGCAAAUCCCUAAAAGAUGCGCCAGUUCGGAUUGGGGUCUGCAACUCGACCCC